rnacentral:rRNA from 1 species
UACGGAGGGGGCUAGCGUUGUUCGGAAUUACUGGGCGUAAAGCGCACGUAGGCGGCUUUGUAAGUUAGAGGUGAAAGCCCGGGGCUCAACCCCGGAAUUGCCUUUAAGACUGCAUCGCUAGAAUUGUGGAGAGGUGAGUGGAAUUCCGAGUGUAGAGGUGAAAUUCGUAGAUAUUCGGAAGAAACACCAGUGGCGAAGGCGACUCACUGGACACAUAUUGACGCUGAGGUGCGAAAGCGUGGGGAGCAAACAGG